AACGAACGCUGGCGGCAGGCCUAACACAUGCAAGUCGAACGAACCGUUUACGGUGAGUGGCGCACGGGUGAGUAACACGUGGGAAUAUACAUUUCGGUAAGGAAUAACGUAGAGAAAUUUACGCUAAUACCUUAUAAUGACUACGGUCCAAAGAUUUAUCGCAGAAGGAUUAGCCCGCGUUAGAUUAGGUAGUUGGUAGGGUAAUGGCCUACCAAGCCUACGAUCUAUAGCUGGUCUUAGAGGAUGAUCAGCCACACUGGAACUGAGACACGGUCCAGACUCCUACGGGAGGCAGCAGUGAGGAAUAUUGCGCAAUGGGGGAAACCCUGACGCAGCCAUGCCGCGUGAGUGACGAAGGCCUUAGGGUUGUAAAGCUCUUUCAGAUGUAAAGAUAAUGACGGUAACAUCAGAAGAAGCUCCGGCUAAAUUCGUGCCAGCAGCCGCCGUAA
rnacentral:rRNA from 1 species